GCACCCAUAGCUCAACUGGAUAGAGCGUUGGAUUCCGGUUCCAAAGGCUGAGGGUUCGAAACCUUCUGGGUGCGCCA
rnacentral:tRNA from 1 species